rnacentral:rRNA from 1 species
UGCGUAGGCGGGCUAAUAAGUCAGUGGUAAAAUCUCUCGGCUCAACCGGGAAACUGCCAUUGAUACUGUUAGUCUUGAGUUCGGUUGAGGUAGGCGGAAUGUGUAAUGUAGCGGUGAAAUGCUUAGAUAUUACACAGAACACCAAUUGCGUAGGCAGCUUACUAGACCGACACUGACGCUGAGGCACGAAAGCGUGGGGAGCGAACAGGAUUAGAUACCCUGGUAGUCC